UACGGGAGGGGCAAGCGUUAUCCAACAUGACUGGGCGUAAAGGGUCCGUAGAUCGUAAAAUAAGUUACCUGUUAAAUUUUUAAAGCCCAACUUUAAAAAUAGCCUGUAAUACUGUUUUACUUGAGUUUUUAUACAGAAGAGUAAAAAUUUUAUACGAAGGGGUGAAAUCCGUAGAUAUAUAAAGGAAUAUCAGUAGCGAAGGCGACUCUUUAGUAAAAACUGACGUUGAGGGACGAAAAGUGUAGGUAGCAAACAGG
rnacentral:rRNA from 1 species